UACAGAGGGGGCAAGCGUUAAUCGGAAUUACUGGGCGUAAAGCGCUCGUAGGUGGUGGGUUCAGUUGGAUGUGAAAGCCCCGGGCUCAACCUGGGAACUGCAUCCAAAACUGGUCGACUAGAGUGCAGUAGAGGGUGGUGGAAUUUCCUGUGUAGCGGUGAAAUGCGUAGAUAUAGGAAGGAACACCAGUGGCGAAGGCGACCACCUGGACUGAUAAUGACACUGAGGUGCGAAAGCGUGGGGAGCAAACAGG
rnacentral:misc_RNA from 1 species